CGCUGGGAACGGCCGCGCCCCCGAGGCCCCGCCCCUCCAUGACACCUGCUGAGCCAAGCCGGCUGAGAGAUCCGGAGGUCCUCCUAACUCCUUGGCCUCCUUCCUUCGACCCCACAACGUGGGCAGCCGCUGGGCUUGGUGUGGCCUGAGGACACCCACCCAGACACAAAAGUACUGAGACCUGAGUGAAAAUUCGGGGAUAGAACCUCCUUGGACCUGAAAACCUGAGCCAUUCAGACUUCAACUCCCAAGACCCAUGGGCCCAACAGCAGACUGGCACUGGCCCAGCAAACAAACACUGCCACAGACAAGUCCCGCUCACCCUAAGGGGGUCCCUCGAUACCCUGGCUCCUGGGUCUAUAGCUAUCUGAUCCUGGCUCCUAAUUUAUGAGGUCUACCUGGUCUCAGACUAAGGCCUCACCCUAACUAGUUGUCCCAGGAGGCGGUGAACUCCUGGAUAUUGUCACUCUCCCGCCCUUUUUCCACAUUGUUCCCUCAGCUGUGGGACAGGCUAGGCUAGCUUAGAGCCAGGAAUGGCAAGCCAGGAAUCUUGCCCUACUACAAGGAGCAGUCCCAGGUUGGGUCGAUGGGUGACAGUGUCUUUGUGCCCAGAAAUUCUCAGUCCCAGAAGCUCAGCUUUAGGCCUGUCACAACAGCAGAAGUACAAAUGAGUUACCAACAACUCAGCCAGAAGAUCUCUGAGCCACUGUGACUCUUAUUCAGGUGACCCAGGUCCUUGACAUGCACCACAAAGAAUUCCAAAACCAGUAGGAAUGAAGUUAGUUUAUUAAGCAUACAAAUGAGAGGCAGGCACUCAAGAGCCAAGCACCAGCCAUAGUAAUGUGCCUACCUGCCUGAGCAGUAGCUAUGUGUGCAACUUGGAGGAAUUUUGAAGCUGUUUAACCUACAAAUAAACUAAUUUUAGAUAUA